UACAGAGGUCCCGAGCGUUGUUCGGAUUCACUGGGCGUAAAGGGUGCGUAGGUGGCGAGGUAAGUCGGAUGUGAAAGCUCGGAGCUCAACUCCGAAAUGGCAUUGGAAACUACCUUGCUCGAGGGUUGGAGGGGGGACUGGAAUUCUCGGUGUAGCAGUGAAAUGCGUAGAUAUCGAGAGGAACACCAGUGGCGAAGGCGGGUUGCUGGGCUGACACUGACGCUGAUGCGCGAAAGCCAGGGGAGCGAACGGG
rnacentral:rRNA from 1 species